AGCAGCCGCGGUAAUUCCAGCUCCAAUAGCGUAUAUUAAAGUUGUUGCAGUUAAAAGCUCGUAGUUGAAUUUCGGGAUCAAUAUGUUGGUCGUGCCUCGGUACGUACUAGCUUAUUGGUUUCUCCUUUCUGAAGAACCAUGAUGUCAUUUAUCUGGUGUCGUGGGGAAUCAGGACUGUUACUUUGAAAAAUUAGAGUGUUUAAAGCAGGCUCACGCUUGAAUACAUUAGCAUGGAAUAAUGAAAUAGGACGUUUGAUUCUAUUUUGCUGGUUUCUAGGAUCGACGUAAUGAUUAAUAGGGAUAGUUGGGGGCAUUAGUAUUCAAUUGUCAGAGGUGAAAUUCUUGGAUUUUAUUGAAGACUAACUACUGCGAAAGCAUUUGCCAAGGAUGUUUUCAUUAAUCAAGAACGAAAGUUAGGGAUCGAAGACGAUCAGAUACCGUCGUAGUCUUAACCAUAAACUAUGCCGACUAGGGAUCGGAUGAUGUUGUAUUUUUUAAUGUACUUCU
rnacentral:misc_RNA from 1 species